CGAGCACGCGCGUGUGGCAUAUCAAUAAGCGGAGGAAAAGAAACUAACAAGGAUUCCCUUAGUAACGGCGAGUGAAGCGGGAAGAGCUCAAAUUUGAAAUCUUCAAGGUUCUACCUUGACGAAUUGUAGUUUAUAGAAGUGUUUUCUGUUAGUAGAGUGGCAAAAGUUCUUUGGAAUAGGACAUCAUAGGAGGGUGAGAAUCCCGUAUUUGGUCAUUCCUCCUAGCGUUGUGAUACACUUUCAACGAGUCGGAUUGUUUGGGAAUGCAGUCCAAAAUGGGUGGUAAAUUUCAUCUAAAGCUAAAUAUUGGCGAGAGACCGAUAGCGAACAAGUACCGUGAGGGAAAGAUGAAAAGAACUUUGAAAAGAGAGUUAAACAGUACGUGAAAUUGUCAAAAGGGAAGCGUUUGACACCAGUGUUGUUUUUCCGAAAAUCAAUUACGAAUGUUUUAUUUUCGAGGAGUUAUGACUUCAUCGGCUUGCUCCUUUCUUUAUGAAACUUUCUUAAUGCACUUUUCGGUUAACAAGUCAACAUCAAUUUCUUUUGUUGUAAAAGGGUAUGAGGAAGGUGGCUUUCUUUUCGGAGAAAGUGUUUAUAGCCUUGUGCCUCUGCAGUCGGAGAGAUUGAGGUCUGCAGCGUAGAUCCUUCGGGGUUAGAUACGUUUGUGUUAAGUUAUAGCUUUUCAUAGACAACUUGUUGACUAUGUUUAGUCUUGUAGCUUACUCGCUGACGCUAUUUUACCUACGCUUAGGAUGUUGAUGUGAUACUGCGAGC
rnacentral:rRNA from 1 species